rnacentral:rRNA from 1 species
UACGGAGGGUGCAAGCGUUAAUCGGAAUUACUGUGCGUAAAGCGCACGCAGGCGGUUUGUUAAGUCAGAUGUGAAAUCCCCGGGCUCAACCUGGGAACUGCAUUUGAAACUGGCAAGAUAGAGUCUCGUAGAGGGGGGUAGAAUUCCAGGGGUAGCGGUGAAAUGCGUAGAGAUCGGGAGGAAUACCGGUGGCGAAGGCGGCCCCCUGGACGAAGACUGACGCGCAGGUGCGAAAGCGUGGGGAGCAAACAGG